rnacentral:lncRNA from 1 species
CAGUUAACCCAGAGCAGCUGAGCCCGCUGUGCUCCCAGCUGCCAUUAAAAGAGCUCAGCCUGAGCUGGCUGUAGUCUGAAGAGCGUCUUUCCUUCAGCUACCCAGGCAUGAGGAUGCAGACAUUUGCCACCAGACUGUUUCUGAAGGUGUGCCAACAGCCACAGCCCAGAGAGCCCUGGGAGCAACGUUAGAGCUUGUAGGAGCAUCCCCGAUGCCAAUGUGUGACCUUGCUAAGGGCUGCAGUUAAUGCAGAUUCAACAAAUAAAUAAACAUUUGCAAUAGGUUCAGACGUGACCUCAUCCCAACGGUGAUCACUAACAGAAUUAUUGACCUGACCGUUUGCUGCUGGAGAAUUUUGGAAAUGCCAGGUUCAUUACAGCCCUGCUUAUUGCCAGGAAGCAUUACAGCUUUGUGCUCGCAGCAGCUUUAAAGGCAGAUGAAAGCCAUAACGCCGGGUCACCCCAGAGACACACCAAGUGCAUCAUCUCAGGUGACCUUUGGGGCUGGGAAGAAGCUGCAGUUUCCCACUAGCAUCCAUGAGUCAACACGAGCAUCAAGUCACAGCAGCACGCCGAACCUCAUUUAUCAUUCCAUUUAAGGUGUCAGCAGAGCCAUUAUUCAAAUGAAUGGCCACGCAUGCAAUCAAUCUUUAAUGAAACAAUAAUUGCACCUUCCACUCUGCAAGACCUCUGCCUUUCUUAAAGUUGGAAAAGGAUAUUACAAUGUCCUGGUACCCUGAGCUGUUUGCACUGAUGUCCCCACGGAGGGGACACAGAGAGCUGGCUGGGAGAAGAAAAUGAACAGUUCUACUUAUGCAGCGAGUAAAUGAUCACGGAGCAAG